GACGAACGCUGGCGGCGUGCUUAACACAUGCAAGUCGAACGGAAAGGCCCCUUCGGGGGUACUCGAGUGGCGAACGGGUGAGUAACACGUGGGCAACCUGCCCUCAGCUUCGGGAUAACACUUGGAAACAGGUGCUAAUACCGGAUAAUAACUUGUCAUCGCAUGGUGGUGGGUUCAAAGUUUUUCGGCUGAGGAUGGGCCCGCGGCCUAUCAGCUUGUUGGUGGGGUAAUGGCCUACCAAGGCGACGACGGGUAGCCGGCCUGAGAGGGCGACCGGCCACACUGGGACUGAGACACGGCCCAGACUCCUACGGGAGGCAGCAGUGGGGAAUAUUGCGCAAUGGGCGGAAGCCUGACGCAGCGACGCCGCGUGAGGGAUGACGGCCU
rnacentral:rRNA from 1 species